UACAGAGGGUGCAAGCGUUGUUCGGAAUUAUUUGGCGUAAAGCGCGUGUAGGCGGCUUUGCAAGUCGGGUGUGAAAGCCCUCAGCUCAACUGAGGAAGUGCGCCCGAAACUGCAGAGCUUGAGUGCCGGAGAGGGUGGCGGAAUUCCCCAAGUAGAGGUGAAAUUCGUAGAUAUGGGGAGGAACACCGGUGGCGAAGGCGGCCACCUGGACGGUAACUGACGCUGAGACGCGAAAGCGUGGGGAGCAAACAGG
rnacentral:rRNA from 1 species